rnacentral:rRNA from 1 species
ACGGCUCUAGCCCUGAAAAUGGAUGGCGCUGAAGCGUUGUGCCUAUACUCUACCGCCGGGGCAAGGCUAGGGUGCCCGCACGUCCCGCGUCGGGGGCGCCACCGCCGGGCCUAACCAGCCCGCGCGCAAGGCGCAGGAGCCCUGUUAAGCCCCGGUGAGUAGGAGGGUCGCGACGGUGAGCGCAGAAGGGUUGGGCGCGAGCCUGCCUGGAGCCGCCGUCGGCGCAGAUCUUGGUAGUAGUAGCAAAUACUCUAGCGAGACCCUGGAGGGCUGAUGUGGAGAAGGGUUUCGUGUGAACAGCCGUUGCACACGAGUCAGUCGAUCCUAAGCCCUAGGGGAAACCCGAUGCGGAUGCCGGCCUCAAAACAACAUAAUGAGAUUCACUAUGGCCGCGCAUCGGGCGAAAGGGAAUCCGGUCCCCAUUCCGGAACCCGGUCGCGGAACCGAUUCACGUCGGGCCCUGCGUCGAAAGGCGCGAAGCUCGUCGGGGUAACCCAACAUGACCCGGAGAAGCCGUCGGGAGGUCUGGGAAGAGUUUUCUUUUCUGUUUGAGCGUUCGGGUUCCCUGGAAUUGCCUAGCGCAGAGAGAGGGAAUGGAGCGCGUAGAGCACCGCAGUUGCGGCGGUGUCCAGACAUGCCCUUCGGACCGUGAAAAUCCGGGGACGGGCCACGUGGAGGUGUCGCGCCGGCUCGUACCCAUAUCCGCAGCAGGUCUCCAAGGUGAAGAGCCUCUAGUCGAUAGAAGAAUGUAGGUAAGGGAAGUCGGAACUUGGAUCCUAACUUCGGAAGGGGGGGUGUUUGCCAUAAAUGGUUAGU